UACGAAGGGGGCUAGCGUUGCUCGGAAUCACUGGGCGUAAAGGCGCGUAGGCGGCCUGAUCAGUCGGGGGUGAAAGCCUGUGGCUCAACCACAGAAUGGCCUUCGAUACUGUCGGGCUUGAGACCGGAAGAGGUAAGUGGAACUGCGAGUGUAGAGGUGAAAUUCGUAGAUAUUCGCAAGAACACCAGUGGCGAAGGCGGCUUACUGGUCCGGAUCUGACGCUGAGG
rnacentral:rRNA from 1 species